UACGGGGGGGGCAAGCGUUGUUCGGAAUUACUGGGCGUAAAGGGCGCGUAGGCGGCUUUGCGUGUCUUUCGUGAAAUCCCUCGGCUCAACUGAGGACGUGCGGAAGAAACUGCAGGGCUGGAGUCCGGGAGAGGAGGGUGGAAUUCCCAGUGUAGCGGUGAAAUGCGUAGAUAUUGGGAGGAACACCGGUGGUGAAGGCGGCCCUCUGGACCGGUACUGACGCUGAUGCGCGAAAGCGUGGGGAGCAAACGGG
rnacentral:rRNA from 1 species